UUAGCUCUAUAGAAUUUGAACAGACAAUCGUAAAUGGCUCAAUCGUAUUUGCUGUGAUUGUUAUGGAAGUACCGUCAGAUUCCCCACUAGCAACCCCUACUGAAGCCCAAUCAUUCCUUCAGGAAUUUAAGGAUGUAUUUCCUGAUGACCUCCCUGAUCUAUUGCCUCCCUUACGGGAUAUUCAACAUGCUAUAGAUCUGGUUCCAGGUUAGUCUCUCCCAAAUUUGCCUCACUAUAGAAUGAAUUCUACUGAACAUGCCGAGCUUCAGAGACAAGUGGGUGAACUCCUUCACAAAGGCUUCAUCCGUGAAAGCUUAAGCCCUUGUGCAGUUCCCGCCCUUCUCACACCUAAGGAUGGUUCUUGGAGGAUGUGUAUUGAUAGUCGCGCUAUCAAUAAGAUCACUGUCAAGUAUCGUUUUCCCAUCCCUCGACUUGAUGAUAUGCUAGAUAUGAUGGUCAGUGCCACAAUAUUUUCUAAAAUCGAUUUGAAGAGUGGAUAUCAUCAGAUUCGGAUCCGUCCAGGAGACGAGUGGAAAACGACAUUUAAAACGAAAGAUGGUCUAUACGAGUGGUUGGUAAUGCCUUUGGCGUAACCAAUGCUCCAAGUACCUUUAUGAGGGUGAUGGUACAGGCCCUUCGACCUUUCAUGGGCAAAUUCAUUGUCGUAUACUUUGAUGAGAUUCUCGUGUAUAGCAAAACAAGGGAACAACAUCGAGAUCGUCUCACGCAAGUUUGCUCUACACUGCAUACAACAAGUUUGUAUGCCAAUGUGAAGAAAUGUUCUUUCUUCACGAAUAGAGUUGUGUUUCUC
rnacentral:lncRNA from 1 species